GGCUUCGUAGCUCAGCUGCUAGAGUGUUUCCUGCGUUGAGGUGUGCUGUUUCUGUCGCUGGUUCGAAUCCAGCCGAAGCCC
rnacentral:tRNA from 1 species